rnacentral:rRNA from 1 species
UGGCGGCGUGCCUAAUACAUGCAAGUAGAACGCUGAAGGGAGAGCUUGCUCUUCUGGAUGAGUUGCGGAACGGGUGAGUAACGCGUAGGUAACCUGCCUGGUAGUGGGGGAUAACUAUUGGGAAACGAUAGCUAAUACCGCAUAAUAGUAGAUGUUGCAUGACAUUUGCUUAAAAGGUGCAAAUUGCAUCACUACCAGAUGGACCUGCGUUGUAUUAGCUAGUUGGUGGGGUAACGGCUCACCAAGGCGACGAUACAUAGCCGACCUGAGAGGGUGAUCGGCCACACUGGGACUGAGACACGGCCCAGACUCCUACGGGAGGCAGCAGUAGGGAAUCUUCGGCAAUGGACGGAAGUCUGACCGAGCAACGCCGCGUGAGUGAAGAAGGUUUUCGGAUCGUAAAGCUCUGUUGUAAGAGAAGAACGAGUGUGAGAGUGGAAAGUUCACACUGCGACGGUAUCUUACCAGAAAGGGACGGCUAACUACGUGCCAGCAGCCGCGGUAAU